rfam:Ovis aries breed Texel chromosome 2, whole genome shotgun sequence.
CCCCUCGUAGCUAAGCGGGUAAAGAACCUGCCUGCAAUGCAGGAGACCUGGGUUUCAUCCCUGGGUCGGGA